UACGUAGGAGACGAGCGUUGUCCGGAGUUACUGGGCGUAAAGGGUGCGCAGGUGGCGGCGCGCGUGGGGGGUGAAAUCGCCCGGCUUAACUGGGUGGGGGCCUUCCAGACGGCGUGGCUUGAGCAGCGGAGGGGGACGUGGAAUUCCGGGUGGAGCGGUGAAAUGCGUAGAGAUCCGGAGGAACACCGACGGCGCAGGCAAUCCCCUGGACCUGUACUGACGCUCAUGCACGAAAGCGUGGGGAGCAAACAGG
rnacentral:rRNA from 1 species